GCUGUUGUAAAUAUUGAUUGAGCUGUCGUUGUAGGUUCAGUUUCUGAGGUAGAACUAAACUGAGUUGUUUGUGCCUGCUGGCUUGUUGUUGGCUCUACACUGGAAGUAGAUAUUUUUGCUGUUGUUGAAAUCAUUUGUGAUGUACUUUGUCCAUCUGUUGUGGAAGACGGUAAGGAUGGAGAGGUACCUGUUGUGGAUAAUGUCAUUUCCAGUGUUGAACCACUUUCAAGUGUAGAUGAUUCUAAUGUGGACGUGCUCAUAGGGGUCAAAACUGUUGUAAAGAUUGAUUGACCUGUCGCUGUAUAUUCAGUUUCUGUGGUAGAGCUAAACUGAGUGGUUUGAGCCUGCUGGCUUGUUGUUUGCUCCACACUGGAAGUGGGAAUUUCUGUUGUAGAUGAAGUGAAUUCUGAUGUACUUUGUCCUUCUGUCAUAGUAGAUGUUGAAAAUGGAGAGGUAUCUGUUGUGGAUAAUGUAAUUUCCUCUGUUGUAACACUUUCAAGUGUAGAUGAUUCUAAUGUCGACAUGCUUAUAGAGGUCAUAACUGUUGUAAAUGCUGAUUGAGCUGUCGUUGUAGAUUCAGUUUCUGCGGUAGAACUAAACUGAGUUGUUUGUGCCUGCUGGCUUGUUGUUGGCUCUACACUGGAAGUAGAUAUUUUUGCUGUUGUUGAAAUCAUUUGUGAUGUACUUUGUCCAUCUGUUGUGGUAGACGGUAAGGAUGGAGAGGUACCUGUUGUGGAUAAUGU
ensembl:lncRNA